UUUAUACUCCCUUAGUCCCAAAAUUCUUAUCUUAGAUUUGUCUAGAUACUGAUGUAUCUAAUACUAAAACUGACUUGAUACAUCUGUAUUUAGACAAAUCUAAGACAAGAAUUUUGGAACGGAGGGAGUACUAU
rnacentral:pre_miRNA from 1 species